CGCGCAGAACCUUACCUGGACUUGACAUAGAAAGAAUUGCGCAGAGAUGUGUUAGUGCUAGCUUGCUAGAACUUUCAUACAGGUGCUGCAUGGCCGUCG
rnacentral:rRNA from 1 species